rnacentral:rRNA from 1 species
GAUGGACGCUGGCGGCGUGCCUAAUACAUGCAAGUCGAGCGAACAGACGAGGAGCUUGCUCCUCUGACGUUAGCGGCGGACGGGUGAGUAACACGUGGAUAACCUACCUAUAAGACUGGGAUAACUUCGGGAAACCGGAGCUAAUUCCGGAUAAUAUAUUGAACCGCAUGGUUCAAUAGUGAAAGACGGUUUUGCUGUCACUUAUAGAUGGAUCCGCGCCGCAUUAGCUAGUUGGUAAGGUAACGGCUUACCAAGGCAACGAUGCGUAGCCGACCUGAGAGGGUGAUCGGCCACACUGGAACUGAGACACGGUCCAGACUCCUACGGGAGGCAGCAGUAGGGAAUCUUCCGCAAUGGGCGAAAGCUUGACGGAGCAACGCCGCGUGAGUGAUGAAGGUCUUCGGAUCGUAAAACUCUGUUAUUAGGGAAGAACAAAUGUGUAAGUAACUAUGCACGUCUUGACGGUACCUAAUCAGAAAGCCACGGCUAACUACGUG